rnacentral:rRNA from 1 species
CUCCCCUCGGGGGGCAGCAGUAGGGAAUUUUCGUCAAUGGGCGCAAGCCCGAACCAGCAAUGCCGCGUGAACGAGGAAGGUCUUCGGAUCGUAAAGUUCUGUUGAAGGGGAAAAAGAGCGGAGAGAGGAAAUGCUUUCUGAUUGAUAUUACCCUUCGAGGAAGUCACGGCUAACUACGUGCCAGCAGCCGCGGUAAUACGUAGGUGGCGAGCGUUAUCCGGAAUGAUUGGGCGUAAAGGGUGCGUAGGCGGCCUGCUAAGUCUGGAGUGAAAGGUACCGGCUCAACCGGUACAGGCUCUGGAAAC